rnacentral:lncRNA from 1 species
AACAGCGAUUUCGUGCCUCCCGUCCGCCACCCAUGAUUUGACCAUUGAGACUGGUAAGGCUGUUUUGGCCUCCCGUGAGCUAUAUCACACGUUUUCAUGGCCCAGCGACCAUUUUUAUGUCCGCGUUCCGCCACACGUGUUUUUGUCUCCGGAGCACCUUAAAGCGGUUCUUGGCCUCCCGCGAGCUAUAUCACACAUUUCCGUGGCCAAACAACCAAUUUUAUGUAUCCGACCAGCCACCUUCGUUUUAGACCGGGGAGGCCGUUAUGGCAUUUUUUGCCACCCGUGAGCUAUAGCACACGAUUUUAUGGAAACCUAGACCCUAAAUCCUAUCCCUAAACCCUAAACCUAAACAUCGAAACUAAAGAAUUUUAGUGUCGAAACCAUGGUAAAAUGAAUAUUGAGUCUCCCAACCAUAUCAACUUUGCUGACAUAGUAGAAUUUUAGUGUCCAAACCAUAGUACACAUUUUGGUCCCCGGAGGCCGGUAAGGCUAUUUUUGGCCUCCCGUGACACAUGUUUUCAUCGUCAAACACGAUUUCAUGCCUCCCGUCCGCCACCCAUGAUUUGGCCACUGAGACUGCUAGGGUUGAUUAUGGCCUCCCGUAAGCUAUAGCACACAUUUUCAUGGUUGAGCGACUAUUUUUAAGUACGUGUUCCACCACCCGCGUUUUGGUCCCCAAAGCACCUUAAAGUUGUUCUUGGCCUCCCACGAGCUGUAGGGUUUAGGGUUUAGGAUUUAGGUUUUAGGGCCUCCCGUGACACAUGUUUUUGUCGUCGAACAGCGAUUUCGUGCCUCCCGUCCGCCACCCAUGAUUUGACCACUGAGACUGGUAAGGCUGUUUUGGCCUCCCGUGAGCUGUAGCACACGUUUUCAUGGCCCAGCGACCAUUUUUAUGUCCACGUUCCGCCACACGUGUUUUUGUCCCCGGAGCACCUUAAAGCGGUUCUUGGCCUCCCGCGAGCUAUAUCACACAUUUCCGUGGCCAAACAGCCAAUUUUAUGUAUCCGACCUGCCACCUUCGUUUUAGACCGGGGAGGUCGUUAUGGCAUUUUUUUGCCACCCGUGAGCUAUAGCACACGAUUUUAUGGAAACCUAGACCCUAAAUCCUAUCCCUAAACCUAAACAUCGACACUAAAGGAUUUUAGUGUCGAAACCAUGGUAAAAUGAAAUUUGAGUCUCCCAACCAUAUCUACUUUGCUGACAUAGUAGAAUUUUAGUGUCCAAACCAUAGUUCACAUUUUGGUCCCCGGAGGCCGGUAAGGCUAUUUUUGGCCUCCCGUGACACAUGUUUUCAUCGUCAAACACGAUUUCAUGCCUCCCGUCCGCCACCCAUGAUUUGGCCACUGAGACUGCUAGGGUUGAUUAUGGCCUCCCGUAAGCUAUAGCACACAUUUUCAUGGUCGAGCGACUAUUUUUAAGUACGUGUUCCACCACCCGCGUUUUGGUCCCCAAAGCACCUUAAAGUUGUUCUUGGCCUCCCACGAGCUGUAGGUUUUAGGGUUUAGGAUUUAGGUUUUAGGGCCUCCCGUGACACAUGUUUUUGUCGUCGAACAGCGAUUUCGUGCCUCCCGUCCGCCACCCAUGAUUUGACCACUGAGACUGGUAAGGCUGUUUUGGCCUCCCGUGAGCUGUAGCACACGUUUUCAUGGCCCAGCGACCAUUUUUAUGUUCGCGUUCCGCCACACGUGUUUUUGUCCCCGGAGCACCUUAAAGCGGUUCUUGGCCUCCCGCGAGCUAUAUCACACAUUUCUGUGGCCAAACAGCCAAUUUUAUGUAUCCGACCUGCCACCUUCGUUUUAGACCGGGGAGGCCGUUAUGGCAUUUUUUGCCACCCGUGAGCUAUAGCACACGAUUUUAUGGAAACCUAGACCCUAAAUCCUAUCCCUAAACCUAAACAUCGACACUAAAGGAUUUUAGUGUCGAAACCAUGGUAAAAUGAAAUUUGAGUCUCCCAACCAUAUCUACUUUGCUGACAUAGUAGAAUUUUAGUGUCCAAACCAUAGUUCACAUUUUGGUCCCCGGAGGCCGGUAAGGCUAUUUUUGGCCUCCCGUGACACAUGUUUUCAUCGUCAAACAACGAUUUCAUGCCUCCCGUCCGCCACCCAUGAUUUGGCCACUGAGGCUGCAAAGGGUGUUUAUGGCCUCCCAUAAGCUAUAGCACACGUUUUCAUGGUCGAGCGACCAUUUUUAAGUACGUGUUCCACCACUCGCGUUUUGGUCCCCAGAGCACCCAUAAGUUGUUCUUGGCCUCCCACGAGCUGUAGGGUUUAGGGUUUAGGUUUUAGGGCCUCCCGUGACACAUGUUUUUGUCGCCGAACAGCGAUUUCGUGCCUCCCGUCCGCCACCCAAGAUUUGACCAUUGAGACUGGUAUGGCUGUUUUGGCCUCCCGUGAGCUAUAUCACACGUUUUCAUGGCCCAGCGACCAUUUUUAUGUCCGCGUUCCGCCACACGUGUUUUUGUCUCCGGAGCACCUUAAAGCGGUUCUUGGCCUCCCGCGAGCUAUAUCACACAUUUCCGUGGCCAAACAACCAAUUUUAUGUAUCCGACCAGCCACCUUCAUUUUAGACCGGGGAGGCCGUUAUGGCAUUUUUUGCCACCCGUGAGCUAUAGCACACGAUUUUAUGGAAACCUAGACCCUAAAUCCUAUCCCUAAACCCUAAACCUAAACAUCGAAACUAAAGAAUUAUAGUGUCGAAACCAUGGUAAAAUGAAUAUUGAGUCUCCCAACCAUAUCAACUUUGCUGACAUAGUAGAAUUUUAGUGUCCAAACCAUAGUACACAUUUUGGUCCCCGGAGGCCGGUAAGGCUAUUUUUGGCCUCCCGUGACACAUGUUUUCAUCGUCAAACACGAUUUCAUGCCUCCCGUCCGCCACCCAUGAUUUGGCCACUGAGACUGCUUGGGUUGAUUAUGGCCUCCCGUAAGCUAUAGCACACGUUUUCAUGGUCGAGCGACUAUUUUUAAGUACGUGUUCCACCACCCGCGUUUUGGUCCCCAAAGCACCUUAAAGUUGUUCUUGGCCUCCGACGAGCUGUAGGGUUUAGGGUUUAGGAUUUAGGUUUUAGGGCCUCCCGUGACACAUGUUUUUGUCGUCGAACAUCGAUUUCGUGCCUCCCGUCCGCCACCCAUGAUUUGACCACUGAGACUGGUAAGGCUGUUUUGGCCUCCCGUGAGCUGUAGCACACGUUUUCAUGGCCCAGCGACCAUUUUUAUGUCCGCGUUCCGCCACACGUGUUUUUGUCCCCGGAGCACCUUAAAGCGGUUCUUGGCCUCCCGCGAGCUAUAUCACACAUUUCCGUGGCCAAACAGCCAAUUUUAUGUAUCCGACCUGCCACCUUCGUUUUAGACCGGGGAGGCCGUUAUGGCAUUUUUUUUGCCACCCGUGAGCUAUAGCACACGAUUUUAUGGAAACCUAGACCCUAAAUCCUAUCCCUAAACCUAAACAUCGACACUAAAGGAUUUUAGUGUCGAAACCAUGGUAAAAUGAAAUUUGAGUCUCCCAACCAUAUCAACUUUGCUGACAUAGUAGAAUUUUAGUGUCCAAACCAUAGUUCACAUUUUGGUCCCCGGAGGCCGGUAAGGCUAUUUUUGGCCUCCCGUGACACAUGUUUUCAUCGUCAAACACGAUUUCAUGCCUCCCGUCCGCCACCCAUGAUUUGGCCACUGAGACUGCUAGGGUUGAUUAUGGCCUCCCGUAAGCUAUAACACAUGUUUUCAUGGUCGAGCGACUAUUUUUAAGUACGUGUUCCACCACCCGCGUUUUGGUCCCCAAAGCACCUUAAAGUUGUUCUUGGCCUCCCACGAGCUGUAGGGUUUAGGGUUUAGGAUUUAGGUUUUAGGGCCUCCCGUGACACAUGUUUUUGUCGUCGAACAGCGAUUUCGUGCCUCCCGUCCGCCACCCAUGAUUUGACCACUGAGACUGGUAAGGCUGUUUUGGCCUCCCGUGAGCUGUAGCACACGUUUUUAUGGCCCAGCGACCAUUUUUAUGUCCGCGUUCCGCCACACGUGUUUUUGUCCCCGGAGCACCUUAAAGCGGUUCUUGGCCUCCCGCGAGCUAUAUCACACAUUUCCGUGGCCAAACAGCCAAUUUUAUGUAUCCGACCUGCCACCUUCGUUUUAGACCGGGGAGGCCGUUAUGGCAUUUUUUUUGCCACCCGUGAGCUAUAGCACACGAUUUUAUGGAAACCUAGACCCUAAAUCCUAUCCCUAAACCUAAACAUCGACACUAAAGGAUUUUAGUGUCGAAACCAUGGUAAAAUGAAAUUUGAGUCUCCCAACCAUAUCAACUUUGCUGACAUAGUAGAAUUUUAGUGUCCAAACCAUAGUUCACAUUUUGGUCCCCGGAGGCCGGUAAGGCUAUUUUUGGCCUCCCGUGACACAUGUUUUCAUCGUCAAACACGAUUUCAUGCCUCCCGUCCGCCACCCAUGAUUUGGCCACUGAGACUGCUAGGGUUGAUUAUGGCCUCCCGUAAACUAUAGCACAUGUUUUCAUGGUCGAGCGACUAUUUUUAAGUACGUGUUCCACCACCCGCGUUUUGGUCCCCAAAGCACCUUAAAGUUGUUCUUGGCCUCCCACGAGCUGUAGGGUUUAGGGUUUAGGAUUUAGGUUUUAGGGCCUCCCGUGACACAUGUUUUUGUCGUCGAACAGCGAUUUCGUGCCUCCCGUCCGCCACCCAUGAUUUGACCACUGAGACUGGUAAGGCUGUUUUGGCCUCCCGUGAGCUGUAGCACACGUUUUCAUGGCCCAGCGACCAUUUUUAUGUCCGCGUUCCGCCACACGUGUUUUUGUCCCCGGAGCACCUUAAAGCUGUUCUUGGCCUCCCGCGAGCUAUAUCACACAUUUCCGUGGCCAAACAGCCAAUUUUAUGUAUCCGACCUGCCACCUUCGUUUUAGACCGGGGAGGCCGUUAUGGCAUUUUUUUGCCACCCGUGAGCUAUAGCACACGAUUUUAUGGAAACCUAGACCCUAAAUCCUAUCCCUAAACCUAAACAUCGACACUAAAGGAUUUUAGUGUCGAAACCAUGGUAAAAUGAAAUUUGAGUCUCCCAACCAUAUCUACUUUGCUGACAUAGUAGAAUUUUCCGGUAAGGCUAUUUUUGGCCUCCCGUGACACAUGUUUUCAUCGUCAAACACGAUUUCAUGCCUCCCGUCCGCCACCCAUGAUUUGGCCACUGAGACUGCUAGGGUUGAUUAUGGCCUCCCGUAAGCUAUAGCACACGUUUUCAUGGUCGAGCGACUAUUUUUAAGUACGUGUUCCACCACCCGCGUUUUGGUCCCCAAAGCACCUUAAAGUUGUUCUUGGCCUCCCACGAGCUGUAGGGUUUAGGGUUUAGGAUUUAGGUUUUAGGGCCUCCCGUGACACAUGUUUUUGUCGUCGAACAGCGAUUUCGUGCCUCCCGUCCGCGACCCAUGAUUUGACCACUGAGACUGGUAAGGCUGUUUUGGCCUCCCGUGAGCUGUAGCACACGUUUUCAUGGCCCAGCGACCAUUUUUAUGUCCGCGUUCCGCCACACGUGUUUUUGUCCCCGGAGCACCUUAAAGCGGUUCUUGGCCUCCCGCGAGCUAUAUCACACAUUUUCGUGGCCAAACAGCCAAUUUUAUGUAUCCGACCUGCCACCUUCGUUUUAGACCGGGGAGGCCGUUAUGGCAUUUUUUUGCCACCCGUGAGCUAUAGCACACGAUUUUAUGGAAACCUAGACCCUAAAUCCUAUCCCUAAACCUAAACAUCGACACUAAAGGAUUUUAGUGUCGAAACCAUGGUAAAAUGAAAUUUGAGUCUCCCAACCAUAUCAACUUUGCUGACAUAGUAGAAUUUUAGUGUCCAAACCAUAGUUCACAUUUUGGUCCCCGGAGGCCGGUAAGGCUAUUUUUGGCCUCCCGUGACACAUGUUUUCAUCGUCAAACAACGAUUUCAUGCCUCCCGUCCGCCACCCAUGAUUUGGCCACUGAGACUGCACAGGGUGUUUAUGGCCUCCCAUAAGCUAUAGCACACGUUUUCAUGGUCAAGCGACCAUUUUUAAGUACGUGUUCCACCACCCGCGUUUUGGUCCCCAGAGCACCUUAAAGUUGUUCUUGGCCUCCCACGAGCUGUAGGGUUUAGGGUUUAGGUUUUAGGGCCUCCCGUGACACAUGUUUUUGUCGCCGAACAGCGAUUUCGUGCCUCCCGUCCGCCACCCAUGAUUUGACCAUUGAGACUGGUAAGGCUGUUUUGGCCUCCCGUGAGAUAUAUCACACGUUUUCAUGGCCCAGCGACCAUUUUUAUGUCCGCGUUCUGCCACACGUGUUUUUGUCUCCGGAGCACCUUAAAGCGGUUCUUGGCCUCCCGCGAGCUAUAUCACACAUUUCCGUGGCCAAACAACCAAUUUUAUGUAUCCGACCAGCCACCUUCGUUUUAGACCGGGGAGGCCGUUAUGGCAUUUUUUGCCACCCAUGAGCUAUAGCACACGAUUUUAUGGAAACCUAGACCCUAAAUCCUAUCCCUAAACCCUAAACCUAAACAUCGAAACUAAAGAAUUUUAGUGUCGAAACCAUGGUAAAAUGAAAUUUGAGUCUCCCAACCAUAUCAACUUUGCUGACAUAGUAGAAUUUUAGUGUCCAAACCAUAGUACACAUUUUGGUCCCCGGAGGCCGGUAAGGCUAUUUUUGGCCUCCCGUGACACAUGUUUUCAUCGUCAAACACGAUUUCAUGCCUCCCGUCCGCCACCCAUGAUUUGGCCACUGAGACUGCUAAGGUUGUUUAUGGCCUCCCGUAAGCUAUAGCACACGUUUUCAUGGUCGAGCGACUAUUUUUAAGUACGUGUUCCACCACCCGCGUUUUGGUCCCCAAAGCACCUUAAAGUUGUUCUUGGCCUCCCACGAGCUUUAGGGUUUAGUAUUUAGGUUUUAGGGCCUCCCAUGACACAUGUUUUUGUCGUCGAACAGCGAUUUCGUGCCUCCCGUCCGCCACCCAUGAUUUGACCAUUGAGACUAGUAAGGCUGUUUUGGCCUCCCGUGAGCUAUAGCACACGUUUUCAUGGCCCAGCGACCAUUUUUAUGUCCGCGUUCCGCCACACGUGUUUUUGUCCCCGGAGCACCUUAAAGGGGUUCUUGGCCUCCCGCGAGCUAUAUCACACAUUUCCGUGGCCAAACAGCCAAUUUUAUUUAUCCGACCUGCCACCUUCGUUUUAGACCGGGCAGGCCGUUAUGGCAUUUUUUGCCACCUGUGAGCUAUAGCACACGAUUUUAUGGAAACCUAGACCCUAAAUCCUAUCCCUAAACCCUAAACCUAAACAUCGACACUAA